UACGUGGGGUGCGAGCGUUGUCCGGAAUUAUUGGGCGUAAAGAGCUUGUAGGCGGUUUGUCGCGUCUGCCGUGAAAAUUCGAGGCUCAACCUCGAACUUGCGGUGGGUACGGGCAGACUAGAGUGUGGUAGGGGAGACUGGAAUUCCUGGUGUAGCGGUGAAAUGCGCAGAUAUCAGGAGGAACACCGAUGGCGAAGGCAAGAGACUGGACCACUCCUGACGCUGAAACACGAAAGCGUGGGUCGCGAAUGGG
rnacentral:rRNA from 1 species